UAACACGUGGGGAACCUGCCCCAUAGUCUGGGAUACCACUUGGAAACAGGUGCUAAUACCGGAUAAGAAAGCGGAUCGCAUGAUCAGCUUUUAAAAGGCGGCGUAAGCUGUCGCUAUGGGAUGGCCCCGCGGUGCAUUAGCUAGUUGGUAAGGUAAAGGCUUACCAAGGCGAUGAUGCAUAGCCGAGUUGAGAGACUGAUCGGCCACAUUGGGACUGAGACACGGCCCAAACUCCUACGGGAGGCAGCAGCU
rnacentral:rRNA from 1 species